rnacentral:lncRNA from 1 species
CAACGAGGAGUGGAAAGUGUGCGUGAGCGGCUCGUGUGCAGAAACCACGUGUGAGAAGAGGACCCUCGGCCCCGCCUGCACGGCUGACUGCCAGCGCGGCUGCUUCUGUUCCAACGGCUUCCACCGUAACUCGGAGAACAAAUGCGUCACCGAGGACCAGUGCCCGCCGGUGUAGCGUGUUACCACUUUGACACACCGUUCGAUGGGACUUCUGCGAGAGAGAACACCUUCGAAAGCACCGCACCACAGCCUUACCGGACAACGAGAGGUUGGAAAAGUUACUCGUGGUUAUGUAACCAAUAAAUGCAUAAAACGUCAA